UACGAGUGCCCCAAGCGUUAUCCGGAAUUAUUGGGCGUAAAGGGUGUGUAGGUGGUCUUGUUAGUCUUCUGUGAAAUUCUUCGGCUUAACCGGGGGUCCGCAGGGGAAACGGCAGGACUAGAGGAUGCGAGAGGUGUGCGGAACUCAUGGUGUAGGGGUGAAAUCCGUUGAUAUCAUGGGGAACACCGAAAGCGAAGGCAGCACACUGGCGCACUCCUGACACUGAAACACGAAAGCGUGGGUAGCGAAUAGGGUG
rnacentral:rRNA from 1 species